rnacentral:ribozyme from 2 species
ACAACAACUCUGCCUGUAGCUCUUUUUUUUGAGUUACUGCCGGUCUCAAGCCCGGGUAAAGGAAGAGGGUUGA